rnacentral:rRNA from 1 species
AUUGAACGCUGGCGGAAGGCUUAACACAUGCAAGUCGAGCGAGUGGCGGACGGGUGAGUAAUGUCUGGGAAACUGCCUGAUGGAGGGGGAUAACUACUGGAAACGGUAGCUAAUACCGCAUACCAUCAGAUGUGCCCAGAUGGGAUUAGCUAGGAGGUGGGGGAAUGGCUCACCUAGGCGACGAUCCCUAGCUGGUAUGAGAGGAGGAGCAGCCACACUGGACCGCAGACACGGUUCCGACUCCUACGGUAGGCAGCAGUGCGGAAGAUUGCACAAUGGGCGCAAGCCUGAAGCAGCCAGUCCCCGUGUAUGAAGACGGCCUUCGGGUUGUAAAGUACUUUCAGUGGGGAGGCAUUACCCGCAGAAGAAGCACCGGCUUACUCCGUGCCAGCAGCCGCGGUAAUAC